AUUGAACGCUGGCGGCGUGCUUAACACAUGCAAGUCGAUCGGUAACAGGUGUAGCAAUACAUGCUGACGAGAGGCGGACGGGUGAGUAAUGCUUGGGAAUCUGCCUAUUAGUGGGGGACAACCCGGGGAAACUCGGGCUAAUACCGCAUACGCUCUACGGAGGAAAGCCGGGGACCGCAAGGCCUGGCGCUAAUAGAUGAGCCCAAGUCGGAUUAGCUAGUUGGUAGGUAACGGCCUACCAAGGCGACAAUCCGUAGCUGGUCUGAGAGGACGACCAGCCACACCGGAACUGAGACACGGUCCGGACUCCUACGGGAGGCAGCAGUGGGGAAGUAUUGGACAAUGGGGGCAACCCUGAUCCAGCGACGCCGCGUGGGUGAAGAAGCC
rnacentral:rRNA from 1 species